GGAACGGUGGUGGAGCGGUUAGCACGCUUGCCUCGCAUCCCUGGGGUCUGAGGUUCGAUUCCCACCUCCGUCCCC